AACGAACGCUGGCGGCAGGCUUAACACAUGCAAGUCGAACGAGAUCUUCGGAUCUAGUGGCAGACGGGUGAGGAACACGUGGGAACAUCCCUUUCAGUUCGGAAUAACGUUGGGAAACUAACGCUAAUACCGGAUACGUCCUUCGGGAGAAAGAUAUUAUCGCUGAAAGAUUGGCCCGCGUCUGAUUAGCUAGUUGGUGAGGUAACGGCUCACCAAGGCUACGAUCAGUAGCUGAUCUGAGAGGUUGAUCAGCCACAUUGGGACUGAGACACGGCCCAAACUCCUACGGGAGGCAGCAGUGGGGAAUAUUGGACAAUGGGCGCAAGCCUGAUCCAGCCAUGCCGCGUGAGUGAUGACGGCCUUCGGGUUGUAAAGCUCUUUUGUCCGGGAAGAUAAUGACUGUACUGGAAGAAUAAGCCCCGGCAAACUUCGUGCCAGCCGCCGCCGUAA
rnacentral:rRNA from 1 species